rnacentral:sRNA from 1 species
UAGUGUUGGAAAACUUGGGAAUUGCGGUCGCUGCCGCAACUCGGCCUUUUGAUUGGCUGGCGCGCAGAAGUUCGACAAUUUGGCAGUAUCGCAUUGCCGGCCACACUGUCGGACAGUCAGUGUUGCAACGUACCGAGGUAGCGACGUAUCGUAUAUCGCCCGACCGCCACAAACUGUCGACCGUUCGGAGCCUGCCGUAAAAAUUUCAAGCUGUUUGCACUCUGUUUACACCCAUUUCAACUCAAUCUUUAACCAAUGCAAAAAGCAAAAAAAAAACGAAAGAAGGGAUUUGUGCAGCAAGUGGGACGACUCUGAUUCCAAUUAAGGUAAUACGAGACGCCGCACCGAUGACUAAAUGUCCAGUUGGAUAAGCCUACUACGGAAUAUUAGCCCCAACCCAACCCCUCUCAUCUCUAACUGUGAAUUAAAUUUCUACAGCUUACUGCAUUGCUAGUAAACGGGGCACAAAGAAAUUGUUUAAUAAUUCCGCGAUAAACAACAUGAAAAUGUAAACAAAACAAAUGGAAAUAUUUUGUGUGAAAA